rnacentral:lncRNA from 10 species
AGUUUCACUCUGGUUGCCCAGGCUGGAGUGCAAUGGCGCGAUCUCGGCUCACCGCAACCUCUGCCUCCCGGAUUCAAGCGAUUCUCCUGCUUCAGCCUCCCGAGUAGCUGGGAUUACAGUGCCAGGCUGGAGUGCAGUGACGCGAUCUCAGCUCACUGCAACCUCCGCCUCACGGGUUCAAGCGAGUCUCCUGCCUCAGCCUCCCGAGUAGCUGGAAUCACAGGCGCGUGCCACCACACCCACCUAAUGUUUGCAUUUUUAGUAAAGACGGGGUUUCACCAUGUUGGCCAGGAUGGUCUCGAUCUCUUGACUUCGUGAUCUGCCCACCUCGGCCUCCCAAAGUGCUGAGAUUACAGGUGUGAGCCACCACGCCCGGCCGAGGCCAUUUUCUUCUACCUCCAAUAGAUACAUUUAGAAUCUGUCUCUUUUACUUCAUUUCCCACAGCUAACAGUCCAUUCCAGGCCACCAUCACACCAUCAUCUUUUGCCUGAAGUGCAUAAGCCUCCAACUUGGUCCCUAAACUUCUCUACCCAGUGAGCUCUACACAAACCAGACCAUGCUCCCUCCCCAUUAAGGCCCCUCACAGCUUCCCAGUGCAUUCUGACAGUGCUCUCUGGGUCUCACUCUGUUGCCCAGCCCAGAUUGUAGUGGUGCAAUCAUAGCUCACAACAGCCCUUAUUCUUCCUUAAAUUUCUCAAGUAAGCCAUCCUUUUUCCUACCUCAAAGUCUUGCAUUUGCAGUUUCCUUGGCCUGGAAUGCUGUUUCCUUCCUACUGGCUUCAUUCUUCAAAUCUCAACUUAAAUGUCACCUCCACAGAGAACCUUAUCUGAUUAAAAGGAGUUGGAUCCCCCACGACCACCACUAUUCUCUAUCCAAUGUCUUUUCUUAUUAGCAUUUAUCAUAAUAUGCAAUUAUUCUGUUUGUUUUGUUGUUCCUCAAGUGUUUCUUCUAUUAGAAUGUAAGCUCCCUGAAGGCAAAAACCACAUCUAUCUUGUUCCUGUAGUUCCAAUGCAUAGAACACAAAUUCUCCGAUUCUGGUGGCUAAUAGAGUAGGGACUCAGUAAACAUUUUAAAAAUAAAAUAAAUGUACUCAACUAUACCAAAAGAUUUAUUAAGCAAAAAAGGUAAGAUACAAAACAGUAUGUAGUGUGGAAUUCCAUUUAUAUUUUGUAAAAAUUUUGUGCAGACACACACACACACGUGCAUGCACAUUAAGGAUACACAAAAAACUAGUAACUGUGGUUGCCCCUAGGAUAGGGACUAUGACUCAAGGGAGAGAAGAUAGAAGUAAUUUUAAUUUUAUAAUCAUUGUUCCUAUUUGGAUUUUUGUUUUACUACAUGUCUAUAUUUCUUUUAUAAUAAUAAAAAUACCAUCUAGUACUGUUAUUUUAAAAAGGAAAUAUGGAAUAGCAAAAAAAAAAAAAAAGACCUGGGAAAGCUUCCUCCAGCCCUGAUGCUGGCCUGCAGUAUGGCACUUGACAGCUACUGGUAUUGUGGAUAGAAGCAAAGGCUCUGGACUCAGCAACACUUGGUUUGAAUUCCAGUUCUACCACUUACUAGCUGUGGUGCUGCUGACAACUUAAACUCCAUGAACCUCAGUUUUCUUCAUCUGUAAGGUGGGAUAACAGUACUUCUCUAAUAGGGAUAUUGUGAGGAUCAAAUAUGAUGAUCUAAAGCAGUUAGCACAAUAUCUUGCACAUAGUAAGUGCUUAAUAAGUGGCAGUUAUUAUUUCAUACAUUAUAAGGUGAUACCCCUGAACUU